rnacentral:rRNA from 1 species
UACCAGCACCCCGAGUGGUCGGGACGUUUAUUGGGCCUAAAGCAUCCGUAGCCGGUUCUACAAGUCUUCCGUUAAAUCCACCUGCUUAACAGAUGGGCUGCGGAAGAUACUAUGGAGCUAGGAGGCGGGAGAGGCAAGCGGUACUCGAUGGGUAGGGGUAAAAUCCGUUGAUCCAUUGAAGACCACCAGUGGCGAAGGCGGCCAACUGGACCACAACUGACACUGAGGCGCGAAAGCGUGGGGAGCAAACAGG